rnacentral:rRNA from 1 species
UGGGGAAUAUUGGACAAUGGGCGCAAGCCUGAUCCAGCCAUGCCGCGUGAGUGAUGAAGGGCCCUAGGGUUGUAAAGCUCUUUCGCCAGGGACGAUAAUGACGGUACCUGGAUAAGAAGCCCCGGCUAACUUCGUGCCAGCAGCCGCGGUAAUACGAAGGGGGCUAGCGUUGUUCGGAAUCACUGGGCGUAAAGCGCACGUAGGCGGAUCUUUAAGUCAGGGGUGAAAUCCCGAGGCUCAACCUCGGAACUGCCUUUGAUACUGGAGGUCUCGAGUCCGGGAGAGGUGAGUGGAACUGCGAGUGUAGAGGUGAAAUUCGUAGAUAUUCGCAAGAACACCAGUGGCGAAGGCGGCUCACUGGCCCGGUACUGACGCCGAGGUGCGAAAAGCGUGGGGAGCAAACAGGAUUAGAUACCCUGGUAGUCCACGCCGUAAAACUAUGGAUGCUAGCCGUUGGGCAGCUUGCUGUUCAGUGGCGCAGCUAACGCUUUAAGCAUCCCGCCUGGGGAGUACGGUCGCAAGAUUAAAACUCAAAUGAAUUGACGGGGUCAUAGCUGUUUCCU